UGAUUGAAUAUAUCUGGCAGGACCUGAUAUUCCCACUCAUUUUGACUCCGAUCCAGCAGCAGCAAAGGCAAUUAAAUAACAAGUUUUCUCCGGCAAAAUGAGUUGCAAAAUGCCCCCAGCUGCAUGCUGCAGGAAAUACACCUUGGCUUUGCUGAUUGCCAGCAUGCCUGCACCUGUCCCUGGCUGAGGAGGUCCUAUGCAGCAAGGCUGCUCCCCAGUUGGGCUGUGUGAGGUGGCACAAGCACCAGGUUUGCAUUGCUGGCAGUGUGUGGCCAUCACUGGCUCACUGCAGCACAGUACGUUCCUGGUGCUUCACAGUCUGCCACAUCACAGCCCGGGCUCGGCCCUUCAUCGCAAAUGCAGACUUGGAUCCUGUAAACGUGAGUUGGUUAAAUGAGAUGGCCAAAUGUUGCUUGAAAAUAAAAUUCCAGGAGGUCAGCUUGUGUGAAAAUGGACCCUGAGACAGAACUGCUGACCCUAAAAUGUCACAGGCACCCUAACCCUAACCACACAGCUACCAAAGGGCAACGCUGCAUUAAAGAUGGAGCGAAGAGCAAAGGAAGCAGCAUUGGAUGAGGUGCUGUUAGCUGCACUACACGUGUGUGUACACUGGGAAAAAGGAUGCUGAUGGGUGGCUUUUCCAUCACCAGGUAUUGGCUUCUGAAGGCUCUUCCAUCCAUAUGGAUCAUGCAAGACACCCACAGCAAACCAUGCUGUGCAAACAUGAUGUAGCACUGAGAGAAGAUGAAGCAUUUGUCUGCCAGCCUCCUCUUUGUCCUACCUGGGAUCUGACCGGUUCUUGCAGCAGUAUGGGAUAACAGUUCUCACCUGCAGAGGUAACUGCUGGAUUUGAUGGCCUACUGCAAGGGUCUUGCUUUCCCACUCAACAGCAACAUAAAGCAAACAUGAGCUGCUCUGCAAAGCAGCAUCCCAGCAGCAGUGCAGUCUUUGGCAGCUUAGACAGGUUUGGGAUACAAUGUGGGAUAUGCAAACACAAGUGACUGGUCUCCACGUGGUGCAGACAUGGCACUGUGGACUGAAAAUAAAGAGAAACGAAUGAGAAACAUGGAUGCUGAAUGGUGGGAAAGCCCCCAACCAUCGAAGGUAGACCUCAGGCAACAAAACUUCGAAAUGAUUUUACCUGACACCCUGCUCUAUGGAGAUAUUGGUUCUACAAAAUUCAAAGAAUCUCACAAUGCCAUCUGAAAAUGGAACAGAAAGAAGCAGCUCUGCUGUUACCUUUACAUACAGGCCGUCUGGGACGCAUCACCGUGGCGGAGCAGCAGGCUGCUGCCUUCCUUCCCAGGAUCCUGGCUUUUUCCCAGGGAAAACCUAUUUCGUGGCUUAUGGUUUUUAAUUGAGACCAUUUCGAUUUGUUGCUGAUUCUGUUUUGAAGACACUGUUUCCAUCAGCAUGUCUUAAUAUACUAAACGUGUCCCCUAAGCCCAUCCUUGAAGCUUGGCGCUACGAUUCCCUGGUACAACUUUAUGGUUUGGAAGACUUGUGUACACACGCAUUCCCGACGUAGCAGAGUCCCCUACAACAACCAGGAGCUACAGUUAUAAUUUCAGUGCAUGUUUCAAACCUGAAGCGGGACAGAAGUCACACAACUGGAAACAAAACAGCUCGUGAAUGGUGAUUUAUUUACAGAGACUGCUUCCAGCAGGAGAACUCAGUCUGCAUCCCACGCUUCCAUUGGAUAUUCAACAAGGGGUGAGGUACGCUGGGAAUACAAAGGACUAGUAGAGAAGAGCUGGACAUGUCAUUUGUGACUCAUUCUUUUAAUUCACCGUGCUAAUCAACUGAACUGCCACAAUCUCCCAAGAGUUUGCGAGUUCCAGAGACCGACUCAUCAACUGAGGACUGCCUGAGCACAACAGCAUUUCUGUUCCAUAUCUG